GACGAACGCUGGCGGCGUGCUUAACACAUGCAAGUCGAACGGAAAGGCCCCUUUGGGGGUACUCGAGUGGCGAACGGGCGAGUAACACGUGCGUAACCUGCCCUUGCCUUCGGGAUAACUUCAUGCAACUGGGGCUAAUACCGGCUAGGAAUCCUUGCUGCAUGGUGGGGGUUGGAAAGCUUCGGCGGUUUUGGAUGGACUCGCGGCUUAUCUGCUUGUUGGUGGGGUAGUGGCUUACCAAGGCUUUGACGGGUAGCCGGCCUGAGAGGGCGACCGGCCACAUUGGGACUGAGGUACGGCCCAGACUCCUACGGGAGGCAGCAGGGGGGAAUAUUGCACAAUGGGCGGAAGCCUGAUGCAGCAACGCCGCGGGCGGGAGGACGGCCUUCGGGUUGGAAACCGCUUUCAGCAGGGGCGAAGCUUGUGGUGACGGUACCUGCAGAAGAAGCACCGGCUAACUACGUG
rnacentral:rRNA from 1 species